AUUCACGCUAAAAAAGUCAAGAGGUAGAACAAAGCCAGGUAUGUUAUUCUAAUCGAUGGUCCCUCACUUAAGGGGGAACAUCAACAGUGAGGAAGAGUCAUUCCUUUUCCAUUAGUUACCAUAUUUUUAUUCUAUUAGUUUUAAUGAACGAUUUUGUUCAUUAAGCUAGAGCGGGGCUCUCCCAGUGCUCAGAAGCAAAGCAGCAGCCUGUUGGAUCAGCCUGCUCUCACCUCCCUGCUUCCCUUGCUUCUUGGGAAAUCAUCCUGGAGCCACAGGUGGGCAAUGAAGAUUUUGCUCUGAGAAGGCUCUAACAUAGAUCAGACAAGUUCCUUAGAAUUAACUCCUAGGCCACUUGGUUUUCAAGGCCAUCUAUUCGCCCUUGGUCUAUUUUCUAUCACAGAUGAUGAUGGCACAUAGCCCAUGUCCUGCUGUGGGAUUAAAGGACAGCAUUACCAUACUUCAAAACCAAAAUACCAAAUUAUAAAGAUGCAUCCAA
rnacentral:lncRNA from 1 species